rnacentral:rRNA from 1 species
CAGUCGCCGCGGGAAUACGUAGGGUGCGAGCGUUAAUCGGAAUUACUGGGCGUAAAGCGGGCGCAGACGGUUACUUAAGCAGGAUGUGAAAUCCCCGGGCUCAACCUGGGAACUGCGUUCUGAACUGGGUGACUAGAGUGUGUCAGAGGGAGGUAGAAUUCCACGUGUAGCAGUGAAAUGCGUAGAGAUGUGGAGGAAUACCGAUGGCGAAGGCAGCCUCCUGGGAUAACACUGACGUUCAUGUCCGAAAGCGUGGGUAGCAAACAGGAUUAGAUACCCCGGUAGUCCCUGUCUCUUAUAC